UCAGUUUCGCACCAAAACAGGACGCAGUCUUUCUCAGUUCUCACCUUCUCGCACAGAAGAGUCUGAAGAAGAGAAGAGAAGAGCAAUGAUUGGAGAAGAAUUAGCGGGCCCCCCAGCCCCAAAGCUCCUCCGUCUGCUUUAUUUUGUCGGCGCUGGCUUUAUUUGCACUGUUGGAAUCAAUAAAUGGCGUGAGCUUCAGAACAUGUCAAUUUUACAGCAGCAGCAGCAGCAACAGCUCCCUGAAAAUGCCGCAAAUGCCCUUGAGUGAUCUCCAGGUUUAUGAUUUGAAAGUCUUGCUGGUGACAAUAAUGAUAAAUGUAAUGAUUUCAAGUUUCACUGAUGUACUAUGAAAUCUUCCUGUUGUUUUAAGGCGAAUUUUCAAUUUUAUCAUGGAAAGCUUGAGCUUUGGCUUCAUUUUGAGUUUGUAUGUGCUGCUCCAGCUGAACUCGUGUUAGACUGAGCUUUGGUAGUUUGGUUGUUAAAUUGUAUAGAAAAUGGUGCAAGAAUUCAUGUC